UUUUUUUUGGUCUCUAUCAAUUCCUUGAGGCACAAAGCCUGAAUAUCCCUGGGGAAAUGGACACCUCUCCCCUUAGGUGACCAACUCACUCAGACUUAGCACAGAGUCUGCUUUGCCUUUUUUUUUUUUUUUUUUUUUGAGACCCGGGAAGAAUAUUCUCAGAACCUGCACACAGUAGGUACUCAACAGUCCCCACGCUAAUACCCUCUACACUGCGGCAUCUGAGUGACAUCUGCUCUCUGGUGCUUGCCUAUGUCUUUUUGCUUCCGAUACCCUCCAUCUUUGGCUCUGCUCUAGUGGGAAAGAAGUAGCCCAUUCCAUGACGACUGGAAGCCUGAGGACAGGGAUGGGCCCUACCUCGUGGUAACUCAUUCAUGCCACUGGUCCUGUGUCUACGUUGCUAAUGGUAACUUCAAUCCACACACCAACAAACCCAGGCUGGGGUAUGAGGCAUGCCUACCGGCCAGGGCAGGAAUAAUGGAAGGACCCACAGACCUGGCAGUGGAUGUGUGACAUCAAGGCCAACCCCUUCUCUCGUGUCUCCUUGGCUAUAGCGGCCCGAGCCUCCCUCCUCCAAACAGCUCCUGUUCCUGGCUAGCAGGAUAGACUGAGUGUAGCCCCGGCUGCCCAGGCUCCCCAGGUCACAGGACCUAGAACAGUUAGCAUCUCCUGGGUGGUAGAGCUGACAGAGGCCUUCCUUCCUCCAGGAGGGAAUGAGUUCCAGUCAGCAGGGUUGUCUCCACCUAGAGAGAACCAGCCUCAGUCUCUGCCACCUGCUUUCCCCUGUUUAACUCCCAGCCUUCCCUCAGCCUUGCUCCCUCCCUGACCCCAUGUGCAGAUGACCUCUAGUACCACAGCAGACCACAGCCCAGGCACUGCCCAACUUCCAUCUCCACCACAUGAUCAGGGGCCAUCCACUGCCUCCUGCACUGGGCUGUGUGACCUCCGUCCUCCUCUGGAAGGUCACUGUUCCUCGCCAGGCAGACUCUGCUGGCCCUUCGCCUCUGGCAUCCCCAAGUGUCAGUCCUUGCCACUGUCCUGCUGGGUUCCCUCAGGGAAGCCAUCUCUGAAGCCUCCAUCCUCACCCCAGGCCCACCACUGCUUGAGGAAUGAACUCUGUCAACCAUGAUGACCCCCUGCCUAAACUUCAACUUGCCCAUCCCUGAAGCCACGCUCCAUUUUCAGCUCUGUAGAUUCAAAACUUUUUUUUUUUUUAAGCCACUUUUGAGUAGCUAAGGUUAGGCAAACAUGGAUGGCUCCACACUUUUCUCUUUUGGAUUCAGAAAGACAAAGAUGGCAGCCCCGCUGCCCCUUGAGGAGCCAUAGUAGAAGGGUAGAACUACCACAGCUCGCUGGUUAGGAUAUGGUCAACACUACCUGAGGGAUCAAAGAGGGUGGGGGUGGCUAAGUAGGGUUUUGUAAGUUGUAUAGAAGUCCAGCAGGUGACUUAACAAGAACAUUUACUUAAUAAGGAGGGAACUUGGAUUUGUUAUAGUCCAAAGACAGGACACAGGUCUAAACAUGCCUGGGGUAAUGGCUACUCAGGCCACAGUGAUAGUUCCCUGCAUCUGGUCCUAUCUGGACUGCACAAGAAUGGAGUCAGUACUCAGAAGAUACACUACCAAGCUAACCAAGCAUAGCUCUCAGGAGGGGCCCAUCUUCAUCGUAGGGAAACAGACCCGCAGAGAGAGAACCCAGUAAGGACCCAAACGGAAUGCAUGCUAGCUCCCAGGUGAUGCUUUAUUUGGGGAGAGCCAUCUAGCAGAGCACUCAACCCUGUCCCAGGUCCAGCCAAUAUGGGGACAACUGCUUCUGCAGUGUGACAGUGCGGUAGGGGAUUCCCGCCUAGACAGCUGUCACGUAAACAUGACUUGGCCUUCUUGCUUGAAUUCAGUCCAAGUGAGGGUCCCAUGGCUUCACCAGGGCUACUCUGGGCCAGGAGGUCUGACAGCAGGCUCCCACAGAGGACAGAAGUUUGGGGAGCCUGCAUUCACCCCUGACCUCUGUCAGUACAAGCCCCAACUCAGGCAAGGCAGAAAAGGAACUGUCUCGGGGCCUUGCUGGACUUCCCCCCGCUUGAGGAUUUGGGGUUCCUUAUCUGUAACAACAGGUAUGUCUUGCCCGAUGGGGACUUUUCCAAACUUCCUGCCCUCUGAGGGGGUCUAGCACACACCAGUGUCUGCAGAGGGAGGUCUGUGCCACAGCGUGGUGGAGGGGGAAACCUCACAAACCCACUUCUCUAACUUCUCCCACCCCUUGAAAACAGAGGCGCUAU
rnacentral:lncRNA from 1 species